rnacentral:misc_RNA from 1 species
GCCAAGCUAGAGAAAAUGUGGAUAGUAAUUCUUUUGCACUGUCAAGCAUGGAGCAGCUUGAGCAAUUGGAGUCAUCUCUGACAUUUUGGGAGAGUAUUGUAAAUGAUGUCCAAACCAACAUUCAAAGCAAUUCAAUCUUAGAGUUGGAUGAAUCUACAAGCUGUGCUGAAAGCCCAGCCAUCUCUUGUGUACAAUUUAGUGUUGAUAUUCGGCCCAGGUCUCCUACUAUCGACAUGAAUUCUGAGCCUGCUGUAGCUUC